rnacentral:lncRNA from 1 species
AUGGACGGCAAAGAUUUAUCUGAAGAGAGCUAUGGGGGGAGCUGUGGAGCUGCAGGUGGGGUUGAUGACAUCAGAAACAGGAAGUUAACCAGACGCAGGUGGUGGAGGCGAUUCUCACCUGCUGCUGUUUGUAACAGGAAGCAAAAGAAGGACGGAGAGGAACGUUCAGAGAAGCAGACAAAUGACAGUGGUGUUCCCCCAGAGGUGGCGCUGCAGGAGGCAGGUACUUCUGCACUGGACACCAAAGAAGAAGAAAGCGCUGAUGGAGCUAAAGGGAAGAGGAGGUUCAAUGUGAGAACGUGGUCAAUGUUCAAAAGGUUCCAGACCUCGUCCUACGUUCGAACAAGUCACGAGGAGAAGACAGACGACAAACCUUCGAGGAGCCUCCGCAAGAAAGUGAGAAUGUUUUUCAGCAGAAGAAGAAGAAACAGAUUAUCUGGUGUCCGUCUGGAGAACAUGGAGAACACUACGCUGUGUGAGGAGGCUCCGUGUUCACCUGUAGCUCAGGUAGAAGAACCGUCAGAACUCCAUGACGAUGUGGCUGAUGACAGCGUGGAGGUGGUGACGGUGGCAGCCGAGGUGAGCGUCCAGCUGACUGAACAAACAGCAGCAGAUCCACAGGUCUGUGACAUCAGCGAUGAUGUAAACAGAUCUGAACCGAUCCAAAAUGACAGUGAGGCUGUUGGAGACACAAACGUUGUUCCUGUUGAAGACUUAAUGGAGGCUGCAGAGAAAGACAAGGUUUCUUGUGACACCGCCACCGUCGUCCUGGACACUGACGAUUACCCUUCAUCAUCUACGACAUCAUCUCAGCAAGCCUCCGAGCGUCCCUGUGAAGAGAAGACGACCUCGCACUGCCUUCAGCCAACGAGUAAUGGGCCAUCCAUCCGGAUCGAGCUGGUUCCACGAUAUGACAUCAGUCAGGAUGAUAAUGAGGAGGAGUGUUGGGAGGACUUCUCCUCAGACAACCACAACCAUCUCCUCCUCCUCCUUGGCUUCGAGCACAGCGAGCGGCAGCUGCACCGGAUGGCUCGCUCUCUGGUCCGAGCCGCCAUGACCGCCGCCGUGGACCAGCUGACCCGAGAGCAGCAGAGUGACUCAGGCUGCGUUCACAGAGAGCCGCCGGGCUGCCGAGAUCAUGCAUGA